ensembl:lncRNA
UAAAAGAGGAUAAGCAGCUUACUAUAGAUGAUAAACAUGGCCCAGAACUAUUCAUCCGAAGUUGUGCUGAAGAACACAGCUGAGGCUGUUAUCAUUCCACUGAAAAAUGGCAUCUCCUCCCUGAAUGGAGUCUACGAGGCCCUGAUUAAGGCAGAUGUAGAUCCUAUUACUGGGCAAUGCUCCAACUACAACUACAUCAGACAGCAGAUAGUGCAGGCUCAUCAACACCUGCAGAGGUCAGAACAGGUGGCCAAUUCGGGGUUAAAGAGUCUGGAUGAAAGCUUAGAGAGAUUUACAGAAGAUGAGGGAAAACUGGAAUGUGAUAUAAAUGAUACAGAAAAAACUUUAGACAACUUAAGAACAAAGCAGGCAUUUAAUCAAAAAUUACUCAGAGAAUGCCAGGGAUCUCUGGAGCUGGCCAGGACAAAGCUGAAUUCAACAAAACAGAUACUUCAGGAACAGGAAAGCAGAAAACACAAUGCUGAAAUAGUCACAGGUGUUGGCGCGGGGCUGAUGGUUAUACCAUUCAUUGGAUGGAUUGCAGGUUCUGCCAUGAUGAUUGGUGGUGCAGUUGAAAUGGAUCAAGCAGAAAAUGCUGUCAGCGAGGCUGAAGAAGAGGAGAGAAGGUCUUACAAUGAAGUGAAAAAUUACGAACAUAAAGUAUCGGACUAUGAGUCCAAGAUUUCCCAUACCAGUCAUGACAUCAGUCAGAAAAAUGAUAAGCUGAAGAUGGCACGUGAAGGAAUCCAGGAAGUGAAGAAGCAGAUACAGGCUGUUGCUGAUUUCCAGAGCAAAGCGAGAAGGGCCGUCCAGUUCCUGGGUGUUCUGAGUGGGAGGGCCAGCGUAGCUGAACAUCAGACUCGCAGAUUCAUCCUCCAGGAGCCUGUGAUGAAGGUGAUGGAGGAUGUUAUGAACGCAAUGAAGGAGAUCACAGGGAAUGAGUUCCUGUACAACAAAGACAUGAUGAGACUCAUCGAUCAAAUGAAGGAGAACAACCUACGCCUGGCAGCCAUCUGUGCCUCAGAGAAAAAUGCUGUGGACGACUACUGACAGACUUUCAUUGUUAGUAACAUGCAUUGGUGUAAAAAAAAAAAAAAAAAUCAAAGGCUUUUCAUGUACUAGGUGCAUAAUUUUCAUGUUCUGUUCCCUACUCUGUCCCAUUGCACCAGCAUUGUAGUUAUAACAUUUCUUUUAAAAUUGCCAAACUUUCUUAUCUUUAUCUCAGUAAUUAUUUUAUAAACAAUGUGGAAGUCAAUAAUGAUCAAGAAUUCCAUCAUGGGUUUCUCCUAAUGCCAAGUUUGCGUGAACACAUGAAAAUGAGAGUAAAAGCACUUUUUUUUUGGUUUAGAAGCAACACUUGGUUUUAACAAUUUUCAUUAAUUUUUUAUCCUCUAAGAUAAAUGUCAUUUAAAAUUUUUUGCUUCCGAUUGUAUUUAUGAUCAAAGCCAACAACUCUUUCCAAGAUUAUUGCAUUGUUACCCUUUUUUUGUCAACCUGAAUAUUCAACUCAAUUAUACUAAAAAUUCUUUGUUAUAUAUA